UACAGAGGUCUCAAGCAUUGUUCGGAUUCAUUGGGCGUAAAGGGUGUCGUAGGUGGCGCGGCUAAGUCGGGUGUGAAAUUUCGGAGCUUAACUCCGAAACUGCAUUCGAUACUGGCGUGCUUGAGGACUGGAGAGGAGACUGGAAUUCAUGGUGUAGCAGUGAAAUGCGUAGAGAUCAUGAGGAAGACCAGUGGCGAAGGCGGGUCUCUGGACAGUUCCUGACACUGAGACACGAAGGCCAGGGGAGCAAACGGG
rnacentral:rRNA from 1 species